GUUGCUUCUAUUCUGGAAGAGUGGCCUGGUAUUUCUACUGGGACAUUCUGUAGAGAGGGGCAUAAAUUUAUUACUCAGUUAGUCAGUUUUAAACAGCAUGUUUCUUACAAUGGCAACGUGUUACCUGUCUACUGAUAAAUUU